CCCUUAGAGUUUGAUCCUGGCUCAGGAUGAACGCUGGCGGCGUGCCUAACACAUGCAAGUCGAACGUGAGGGGAUAGCAAUAUCCCUGAAAGUGGCGAACGGGUGAGUAACACGUAGGUAACCUGCCGCGCAGAGGGGGAUAACGACUGGAAACGGUCGCUAAUACCGCAUGGUACUAGGAAGCGGGGACGCUUCUUGGUUAAAACUUUUGUGCUGCGCGAGGGGUCUGCGUCCGAUUAGUUAGUUGGUGAGGUAACGGCUCACCAAGACGAUGAUCGGUAGCUAGUCUGAGAGGAUGAUUAGCCACACGGGAACUGAGACACGGUCCCGACUCCUACGGGGGGCAGCAGUGAGGAAUAUUGCACAAUGGACGCAAGUCUGAUGCAGCAACGCCGCGUGGAGGAUGAAGGUCUUUGGAUUGUAAACUCCUUUUCUCAGGGAAGAGAAUGGACGGUACCUGAGGAAUAAGUCACGGCUAACUACGUGCCAGCAGCCGCGGUAAUACGUAGGUGGCAAGCGUUAUCCGGAAUUACUGGGCGUAAAGCGCACGCAGGCGGUCUUUUAAGUUUGACGUGAAAGCUCUCGGCUUAACUGGGAGAGGUCGUUGAAGACUGGAAGACUUGAGGCAAUGAGAGGGGUGUAGAAUUCCCGGUGUAGUGGUGGAAUGCGUAGAUAUCGGGGGGAAUACCAGUGGCGAAAGCGGCACCCUAGCGUUAGCCUGACGCUCAUGUGCGAAAGCGUGGGGAGCGAACGGGAUAGAUACCCCGGUAGUCCACGCUGUAACGAUGACA
rnacentral:rRNA from 1 species